AUCUGGGCGGCGGAAUUCAGGAUGGCUGGCGUGCUCCCGCGCGUCUGUCGUUUGAUAUUUCCGUCGCCAACUAACCGCAGACGUCGCGACCUGUUCGCGGUCGGUCCCUGCUCGGAGGAGCCGCGUUCGAGCUCGUUGUGUGCGCGUUUCGGCGUGUCACACGGCGAAGGCGCGGAUCUCUGGCUGGCCGUCGGACAGUAUGCUUAACGGUGUCCGGUGUCGUCGUCUCGUACGCGCGGCAUCGGUACCGGUCAGCGACGAAUUCUUCGGGCCUCUUUCCGACCCGUCUUGAAACACGGACCAAGGAGUCUAACAUGCGCGCGAGUCGCGGGGUAUCGAGCGUACUUCGGUGCGUUCGUUAUGUUGCGAAACCCGUACAUGUUGAAGGCGUAAUGAAAGUGAAUGGGGAAGAUGGUGUUCCGAGUACACGUUCCGCGAUCGUCGGUAUCGCGGCCGGGCACCCGCAUUCCCAGGGCGUCUCAACGGCCCGUCGUUGAUGCGGACAGUCGUCUCUCGGGGCGGCUGUCGGUCGGCGACGAACCGA
rnacentral:rRNA from 2 species